UAUAUAAACAGCCGUUUCCAGGUUAGACAAUGCCAUAAAAUACGUCCAGCAGGAGCAGACUACGUGUAAAAAAAUAAAAAUAAAAUAAAGUCUUGACAUUUUUUUAAACCAGGCCCGUUACUAAACAGAGUUUAGAAUUGUUUCUUUUUAAAACCGGGUCAAGUAAAAAAUGAACCCUCCUAUCUCAAAUAAAUGUGAAUAUCUAUAUAACCUGGACUUGUGUUGAAGUUUUACUCUUUUUUUUUUAGUUUGCCGAAUAUUUUUAUUUCCUGGCUGCUUGAUUGACAGCUGUGAUGGUACAAGUUUAGAGUUGGGUGCUUUUAAUUUACAAAUUGCUGCAGAUUUGCAAUGGAUCACUGCAGAUAUAUUGCCUCUCCUCGUGUGAGGCCAAUGAAGUAUUGAUUGUUACUGGUCUGUUUUGGAAAUUUAAAAAAAUAUAUAUUUUUUGGACAUACAACUAUUAAGUGAUUUGUACUAGGUGGAGGAUUUGUAUGCAUUUCCUCAAUAAUGCAUUACCAUAUGGUGGUUCGGGGGAGCAGGCGCUACUCCAAGUAGUAUAAUUCCUUUUAAAGUACAAGUUGAUUUCUUAUUAUUCCAAGGGCAUCUUAUCUGCUUUGAACAAUAUUAAGUUUUUUUUAAAGUUUAGUGGCUCUUUAUUAUUUAUUAAUUUCAGACUAGAACUACACAUAUUUCUCCUUUUUAGAAAUAUGCGAUAAUCCCUCAUUUACAAAUGUCCAGAAAGGUUGUGUGAUUUUAAUAUUUUUCUGACUUUUCUCAAGAAAAUAC